rnacentral:rRNA from 1 species
UACGUAGGGUGCGAGCGUUGUCCGGCAUUAUUGGGCGUAAAGAGCUUGUAGGCGGUUUGUCGCGUCUGCUGUGAAAUCUCAAGGCUCAACCUUGAGCUUGCAGUGGGUACGGGCAGACUAGAGUGUGGUAGGGGAGACUGGAAUUCCUGGUGUAGCGGUGAAAUGCGCAGAUAUCAGGAGGAACACCGAUGGCGAAAGCAGGUCUCUGGGCCACUACUGACGCUGAGAAGCGAAAGCAUGGGGAGCGAACAGG